rnacentral:lncRNA from 1 species
CUUUGUUGUAUUUAAUGUUAAUAACAAUCAGAAUUCUGUUUGACUAGGAAGGUAUGUAUGGGAUGAUCUACCUGCUAGAGCAUCUUAAAUCCAUUGGUUGGUGGAGGCUCAGUGCAGAAACAAAUAUUAUGCCAUACUGAUUACUGAUAUUAGUCCUGAGUGAAACAGACAUCUGUCAGAUGGCCUUGGCUCCAAAUGCUUCCUGAGCAUUUCAGAAGGCGAGAGGAAUUGUUCCAAAUCUUCGUGCACACUGACGUCCUUCACUCUUAUGGAAAAACAGAUGGAGGUACCAGCUCCACCAUGUACUGAAGAGCGAGCCUGUUCCCUUAGUGCAGUAUGUACAAGUCUGAUCAGAUGCCCUUCUUCCAGAGGCUGAGACAGAAAAUGAGACAGAAGCAGAAAUUUCCCAUUGACCGGAGGUCCCUUAGUGAAUCAGUACAGAGAACAACCUUUUUAAAUAAGAAGUUCUGUUUUGCUCAUCUUCCACGUAUCGAGGCCACCUGAUACGAGACUUCUGGCUUGGGAACGGUAAGUAACAUUGUUUGUGCUUGGAUUUCAGUGACAGGGUCUCUUCUGAGAA